rnacentral:rRNA from 1 species
GCCCAAGAGAUCGGGAUAACACCUGGAAACAGAUGCUAAUACCGGAUAACAACAGAUGAUGCCUAUCAACUGUUUAAAAGAUGGUUCUGCUAUCACUCUUGGAUGGACCUGCGGUGCAUUAGCUAGUUGGUAGGGUAACGGCCUACCAAGGCGAUGAUGCAUAGCCGAGUUGAGAGACUGAUCGGCCACAUUGGGACUGAUACACGGCCCAAACUCCUACGGGAGGCAGCAGUC